UACGUAGGUGGCGAGCGUUGUCCGGAUUUAUUGGGCGUAAAGAGCUCGUAGGCGGUUUGUUGCGUCGGCUGUGAAAUCCCGAGGCUCAACCUCGGGUCUGCAGUCGAUACGAGCAAACUAGAGUGUUGCAGGGGAGACUGGAAUUCCUGGUGUAGCGGUGAAAUGCGCAGAUAUCAGGAGGAACACCGAUGGCGAAGGCAGGUCUCUGGGCCGAUACUGACGCUGAGGAGCGAAAGCGUGGGGAGCGAACAGG
rnacentral:rRNA from 1 species